rnacentral:rRNA from 1 species
AGCGAACGUUUGCGGCGGGCUUAACACAUGCAAGUCGAACGAGAAUCCCUUCGGGGAGGAAAGUGGCGCACGGGUGCGUAACACGUGGAUAACCAACCCAUUGGUUUGGGACAAUACCGGGAAACUGGUGCUAAUACCAGAUGUGUCGCAGCUGUCUUCAGGCGGUUGCGAGAAAGGCCCGCAAGGGUCGCCAACGGACGGGUCCGCGUCCCAUCAGCUAGUUGGUGAGGUAAUGGCUCACCAAGGCAAAGACGGGUAGCUGGUCUGAGAGGAUGAUCAGCCACACUGGAACUGAGACACGGUCCAGACUCCUACGGGAGGCAGCAGUGGGGAAUAUUGCGCAAUGGGCGAAAGCCUGACGCAGCCACGCCGCGUGAGCGAUGAAGGUCUUCGGAUCGUAAAGCUCUGUGGGGGGAGAAGAAGAAAGCCGGUGAAGAGCCGGCCCUGACGGUAUCCCCUUAGCAAGCACCGGCUAACUCCGUGCCAGCAGCCGCGGUAAAG